rnacentral:pre_miRNA from 8 species
GAAAGUGUACCAUGUGCACUUAAAGAUGAAGCCGGUGCACCUUCAUGAACUGUGGUACACCUUUAAGAACUUGGUCCACCUUC